GAUGAACGCUAGCGGCAGGCCUAAUACAUGCAAGUCGAACGGUGUCUUCGGACAUAGUGGCGCACGGGUGCGUAACACGUAUGCAACCUACCUUACAUUGGGGGAUAGCCUUUCGAAAGGGAGAUUAAUACCGCAUAAGACAGUAGCUGGGCAUCCAGCAGCUGUUAAAGAUUUAUCGAUGUAAGCUGGGCAUGCGUCCAAUUAGCGAGUUGGUGAGGUAACGGCUCACCAAGGCAAUGAUUGGUAGGGGAACUGAGAGGUCAAUCCCCCACACUGGCACUGAGAUCCGGGCCCAACUCCUACGGGAGGCAGCAGUAGGGAAUAUUGGGCAAUGGACGCAAGUCUGACCCAGCCAUGCCGCGUGCAGGAUGAAGGCGUUAUGCGUUGUAAACUGCUUUUAUACAGGAAGAAACGACUCUUGCGAGAGGCAUUGACGGUACUGUAUGAAUAAGCACCGGCUAACUCCGUGCCAGCCGCCGCCGUAAGAC
rnacentral:rRNA from 1 species